rnacentral:tRNA from 1 species
GCAUACUUAGCUCAACUGGAUAGAGCAUCUGACUUCGGAUCAGAGGGUUGUGGGUUCAAGUCCUACAGUAUGCG